rnacentral:lncRNA from 1 species
GGGUAAUGGUUAAAUUGUAGGGUAAGGGUUAGAUUGUAGGAUAAGGGUUAGAUUGUAGGGUAAAUGUUAGAAUAUAGGGUAAAGGUUAGAUUGUAGGGAUAAUGGUUAGAUUGUAGGGUAAGGGUUAGAUUGUAGGGUAAAGGUUAGAUUGCAGGGUAAAGGUUAGAUUGUAGGGUAAGGGUUAGAUUGUAGGGGUAAGGGUUAGAUUGUAGGAUUAGGGUUAGAUUGUAGGGGUAAGGGUUAGAUGAUGGGGUAAGGGUUAGAUUGUAGGAUAAGGGUUAGAUUGUAGUGUAAGGGUUAGAUUGUAGGAUAAGGGUUAGAUUGUAGGGAUAAGGGUUAGAUUGAAGUUUAAGGGUUCGAUUGUAAGUUCAGGGUUAGAUUGUAAGGUAAGGGUUAGAUGAUGGGAUAAGGGUUAGAUUGUAGUGUAAGGGUUAGAUGAUGGGGAAAGGGUUAGAUUGUAGAAUAAGGGUUGGAUUAUAGGGUAAGGGUUAGAUGAUAGGGUAAGGGUUAGAUUGCAGGGUAAAGGUUAGAUUGUAGGGUAAGGGUUAGAUUGUAGGGGUAAGGGUUAGAUUCUAGGAUUAGGGUUAGAUUGUAGGGUAACGGUUAGAUUGUAAGGGUAAGGGUUAGAUGAUGGGGUAAGGGUUAGAUUGUAGGAUAAGGGUUAGAUUGUAGGGUAAAGGUUAGAUUGUAGGGAUAAGGGUUAGAUUGAAGUGUAAGGGUUAGAUUGUAGGGGUAAGGGUUAGAUUGUAGGGUAAGGGUUAGAUUGUAGCGUAAGGGUUGGAUUGUAGGGUAAGGGUUAGAUUGCAGGAUAUGGGUUAGAUGAUGGGAUAAGGGUUAGAUGAUGGGGUAAGGGUUAGAUUGUAGGGUAAGGGUUAGAUUGUAGGGUAAGGGGUAGAUGAUGGGAUAAGGGUUAGAUGAUGGGGUAAGGGUUAGAUUGUAGGGUAAGGGUUAGAUUGUAGGGUAAAG